CGGGAGGCAGCAGUGGGGAAUAUUGCACAAUGGGGGAAACCCUGAUGCAGCAACGCCGCGUGGAGGAUGACACAUUUCGGUGCGUAAACUCCUUUUAUAUGGGAAGAUAAUGACGUACCAUAUGAAUAAGCACCGGCUAA
rnacentral:rRNA from 1 species